rnacentral:rRNA from 1 species
UUUAACUGAGCGUUCAGUUACUUGACGUAGACCCGAAACCGGGCGACCUACCCAUGAGCAGGAUGAAGCGAAAGUAAAAUUUCGUGGAGGUCCGAACCCACGAGCGUUGAAAAGCUCGGGGAUGACUUGUGGGUAGCGGUGAAAUUCCAAUCGAGCCCGGAGAUAGCUGGUUCUCCCCGAAAUAGCUUUAGGGCUAGCCUCAAGGUGAGAGAUACGGAGGUAGAGCACUGAAUGUCCUAGGGGGUAUUGCACCUACCGAAGACUAUCAAACUCCGAAUGCCGUCAUCUUAUACUUGGGAGUCAGACUGUGGGUGAUAAGAUUCAUAGUCGAAAGGGCAACAGCCCAGAUCGUCAGCUAAGGUCCCUAAAUGUAAGUUAAGUGGUAAAGGAUGUGGGAUUGCACAGACAACCAGGAUGUUGGCUUAGAAGCAGCCACUCAUUCAAAGAGUGCGUAAUAGCUCACUGGUCGAGUGAUCCUGCGCCGAAGAUUUCCGGGGCUAAAACUUACUACCGAAGCUACGGCAUCAGUAAUGAUGGGUAGGGGAGCUUCCCAUACGGGUUGAAGCAUGACCGUAAGGACAUGUGGACAGUAGGGGAGUGAGAAUGUUGGCAUGAGUAGCGAGAUGUGGGUGGGAAUCCCACAGGCCGUAAACCCAAGGUUUCCAGGGGAAGGUUCGUCC